rnacentral:piRNA from 1 species
UCAAGUCUUGGAGGACUACUUCCCUGAUCGU